GUAAGGAAUAUUGGACAAUGGACGCAAGUCUGAUCCAGCCAUCCCGCGUGAAGGAAUAAGGCCCUAUGGGUUGUAAACUUCUUUAGCUAGGGAAUAAAUCAUUGGAUUCAUCCGAUGUUGAAGGUACCUAGAGAAUAAGCACCGGCUAACUCCGUGCCAGCAGCCGCGGUAAUACGGAGGGUGCAAGCGUUAUCCGGAUUUACUGGGUUUAAAGGGUGCGUAGGUGGUUUAAUAAGUCAGUGGUGAAAUUUACCCGCUUAACGGGCAAGCUGCCAAUGAUACUGUUAAACUUGAAUAUGGUUGAAGUAGGCGGAAUAAAUCAUGUAGAGGUGAAAUUCUUAGAGAUGAUUUAGAACACCGAUUGCGAAGGCAGCUUACUAAGCCAUCAUUGACACUGAGGCACGAAAGCGUGGGGAUCAAACAGGAUUAGAAACCCCGGUAGUCC
rnacentral:rRNA from 1 species